UUAAAUUGAAGAGUUUGAUCAUGGCUCAGAUUGAACGCUGGCGGCAGGCCUAACACAUGCAAGUCGAACGGUAACAGGAAGCAGCUUGCUGCUUUGCUGACGAGUGGCGGACGGGUGAGUAAUGUCUGGGAAACUGCCUGAUGGAGGGGGAUAACUACUGGAAACGGUGGCUAAUACCGCAUAACGUCGCAAGACCAAAGAGGGGGACCUUCGGGCCUCUUGCCAUCAGAUGUGCCCAGAUGGGAUUAGCUUGUUGGUGAGGUAACGGCUCACCAAGGCGACGAUCCCUAGCUGGUCUGAGAGGAUGACCAGCCACACUGGAACUGAGACACGGUCCAGACUCCUACGGGAGGCAGCAGUGGGGAAUAUUGCACAAUGGGCGCAAGCCUGAUGCAGCCAUGCCGCGUGUAUGAAGAAGGCCUUCGGGUUGUAAAGUACUUUCAGCGGGGAGGAAGGUGUUGUGGUUAAUAACCGCAGCAAUUGACGUUACCCGCAGAAGAAGCACCGGCUAACUCCGUGCCAGCAGCCGCGGUAAUACGGAGGGUGCAAGCGUUAAUCGGAAUUACUGGGCGUAAAGCGCACGCAGGCGGUCUGUCAAGUCGGAUGUGAAAUCCCCGGGCUCAACCUGGGAACUGCAUUCGAAACUGGCAGGCUUGAGUCUUGUAGAGGGGGGUAGAAUUCCAGGUGUAGCGGUGAAAUGCGUAGAGAUCUGGAGGAAUACCGGUGGCGAAGGCGGCCCCCUGGACAAAGACUGACGCUCAGGUGCGAAAGCGUGGGGAGCAAACAGGAUUAGAUACCCUGGUAGUCCACGCCGUAAACGAUGUCUACUUGGAGGUUGUGCCCUUGAGGCGUGGCUUCCGGAGCUAACGCGUUAAGUAGACCGCCUGGGGAGUACGGCCGCAAGGUUAAAACUCAAAUGAAUUGACGGGGGCCCGCACAAGCGGUGGAGCAUGUGGUUUAAUUCGAUGCAACGCGAAGAACCUUACCUGGUCUUGACAUCCACGGAAGAAUUCAGAGAUGGAUUUGUGCCUUCGGGAACCGUGAGACAGGUGCUGCAUGGCUGUCGUCAGCUCGUGUUGUGAAAUGUUGGGUUAAGUCCCGCAACGAGCGCAACCCUUAUCCUUUGUUGCCAGCGAUUCGGUCGGGAACUCAAAGGAGACUGCCAGUGAUAAACUGGAGGAAGGUGGGGAUGACGUCAAGUCAUCAUGGCCCUUACGACCAGGGCUACACACGUGCUACAAUGGCGCAUACAAAGAGAAGCGACCUCGCGAGAGCAAGCGGACCUCAUAAAGUGCGUCGUAGUCCGGAUUGGAGUCUGCAACUCGACUCCAUGAAGUCGGAAUCGCUAGUAAUCGUGGAUCAGAAUGCCACGGUGAAUACGUUCCCGGGCCUUGUACACACCGCCCGUCACACCAUGGGAGUGGGUUGCAAAAGAAGUAGGUAGCUUAACCUUCGGGAGGGCGCUUACCACUUUGUGAUUCAUGACUGGGGUGAAGUCGUAACAAGGUAACCGUAGGGGAACCUGCGGUUGGAUCACCUCCUUACCUUAAAGAAGC
rnacentral:rRNA from 2 species